rnacentral:rRNA from 1 species
AUUGAACGCUGGCGGCAUGCCUUACACAUGCAAGUCGAACGGCAGCACGGGAGCAAUCCUGGUGGCGAGUGGCGAACGGGUGAGUAAUACAUCGGAACGUGCCCAGUAGUGGGGGAUAACCCGGCGAAAGUCGGACUAAUACCGCAUACGACCUAUGGGUGAAAGCGGGGGAUCGCAAGACCUCGCGCUAUUGGAGCGGCCGAUGGCAGAUUAGGUAGUUGGUGAGGUAAAGGCUCACCAAGCCUUCGAUCUGUAGCUGGUCUGAGAGGACGACCAGCCACACUGGGACUGAGACACGGCCCAGACUCCUACGGGAGGCAGCAGUGGGGAAUUUUGGACAAUGGGCGCAAGCCUGAUCCAGCAAUGCCGCGUGCGGGAAGAAGGCCUGGUGUAACGACUUG